rnacentral:rRNA from 1 species
GAUGAACGCUGGCGGCGUGCUUAACACAUGCAAGUCGAACGAAGCACUUUAUUUGAUUUCCUUCGGGACUGAUUAUUUUGUGACUGAGUGGCGGACGGGUGAGUAACGCGUGGGUAACCUGCCUUGUACAGGGGGAUAACAGUUGGAAACGGCUGCUAAUACCGCAUAAGCGCACAGCAUCGCAUGAUGCAGUGUGAAAAACUCCGGUGUAUAAGAUGGACCCGCGUUGGAUUAGCUAGUUGGUGAGGUAACGGCCCACCAAGGCGACGAUCCAUAGCCGACCUGAGAGGGUGACCGGCCACAUUGGGACUGAGACACGGCCCAAACUCCUACGGGAGGCAGCAGUGGGGAAUAUUGCACAAUGGGCGAAAGCCUGAUGCAGCGACGCCGCGUGAGCGAAGAAGUAUUUCGGUAUGUAAAGCUCUAUCAGCAGGGAAGAUAAUGACGGUACCUGACUAAGAAGCACCGGCUAAAUACGUG